GUAGGAAGUGGGUGUUUGCUAGGAGGCAGCAUUUAAGGACUAAAGACAGCCAGGUCAAAGAAGCUGCCAUCAGAGCAGAUCUGUAACAAAUAGAGGAAACAAGAAUUAUGAGAGGCUUCUAGGUAUAUUUUGGCCUGAAACAGGAUUGGAAGGGAUCCAAAGAAGCAGAUUCACCUGGAAACUGGGUCACCUGGAGCUGAAUCACCACUACAUGCUCAAACAGCACUAUGCACCUCCUUGCUCAAAAAUGGGAGGUUUGUCUCUCGCUGAUGGGUUCUCACCUGUGUGUUUUAGGGUGGCUGAGUCCAAGAUCAUCGUCUUUUUUUUUUUUUAAGAAGGGGUCUAAUUGCUGCUUUCUUCAGUGAGGGGACAUAUCACCUACUUUAGGGAAGAGUUCACGUCUCCACAAAACCCAGGCACCCAGUCCAGCCCUGUUCAGUUUCAGCAGCCAUGAAGGGCAAAGGUCGAGUGCCCAUGUGGUUGGCUUCAGAUCUCCUAGCAGGCUGUCCACGUCCUGCCAACUCAGAGUAACACUUCAUGCAUCUGCCAGAGUGAGCCCAUGAAAGCUUGUGCAACAAUACAUCUGUUAGUCUCUAAGGUGCCACAAACUGGCUGUUGUUGAAAUUAAAAAGCGUCUAUCAGAUUACAGGA